GACGAACGCUGGCGGCGUGCUUAACACAUGCAAGUCGAACGAUGAAGCGCCUUCCUUUUUGGUGGGUGUGGAUGAGUGGCGAACGGGUGAGUAACACGUGAGUAACCUGCCCCCUUCUUCUGGAUAACCGCAUGAAAGUGUGGCUAAUACGGGAUAUUCUGGGUCUGUCGCAUGAUGGGUCUGGGAAAGAUAUUGUUUCGGUGGGGGAUGGGCUCGCGGCCUAUCAGCUUGUUGGUGGGGUGAUGGCCUACCAAGGCGGUGACGGGUAGCCGGCCUGAGAGGGUGGACGGUCACACUGGGACUGAGACACGGCCCAGACUCCUACGGGAGGCAGCAGUGGGGAAUAUUGCACAAUGGGCGCAAGCCUGAUGCAGCGACGCCGCGUGAGGGAUGGAGGCCUUCGGGUUGUGAACCUCUUUCGCCAGUGAAGCAGGCCUGCCUCGUUUGUGGGUGGGUUGACGGUAGCUGGAGAAGAAGCGCCGGCUAACUACGUG
rnacentral:rRNA from 1 species